ACAUUAAAGACAUUCACCUUAAAUAGAAGUGUAAGAAUCUUCUAUUUCAUAACACUUUUAAUUUAAUUAUUUUUCAUAGCUAUAAUAAAAUUUUAAUUUACCCAUCAUAGCUAAUGCAAAUACACAAAGUUAUUCCAUUGUAUAAUUUUUUCUCUCAACCCUAUUUCUCUUUUCUCCCUCAACUCUCUCCCAUUUUCCCUCUCUUCUCCCUCGGCAACAAAGAAGUCACCGCCAUCCGUCUUCUCCGACGGAGUUCUACGGAGCACAUCAAAAUAGGCGCCGCUUUCUCUCUUCCCCACACAUUACCGCCCUCCACUGUAUACCCCAUUUACCGUGAAUCACCCUUAAACACCGUCGCCACCCACCGUUAGUUCCAGAUCUGAAUUACAAAGUUGCGAUCAAUCCAUGAGCGGCGGCGAAAACAAUGGAGGAGGAAGAUCAGAGGCGCCAUCGGAUCUUGAUCUAAUGGAGAUGCCAAAAUUCAUAGCUUCUUGUCCUUUUUUGUAUCUCACAUCUGAGUAUAUUUGUCUGACUCGAGACUUCUUUCUCUACCACUACUUUUCACGCCGGAAAAAACCCCUCUUUCUUCUCCACUGCCUUUCAUGUUGGAAAAUCGUUGUAUGAAUUCAGUGUAUUUUGUAUUUUCAUCAUAGAUUUGAAGAGUAUUUUGGAUUUCUCCGGAGAUCUGAUGAGAUUUGAUUGCGUUCUCCAUUUUUAAGUACAGGGUAUUUUGUAUUCUCGUUGGUAAUUUGAUUGUAUUCUUUUUUAUAGUUAAAUACAAAUAAACUUUAAAAGGAUUUGAAUGUAUCCUUCCCUUUUUAGUAAAUAUAGUGAUAUUUUAUAUUUCACCGGAGAUCCGACUGGGGUUGAUUGUAUUCUUUCUUUUUAAAUAUUGUGUAUUUUGCAUAUUGCUGGAGAUUUUGACAGAAUUUGAUUGUAUUCUUCGUUUCGUCAUUUUUUGGUAUAAGUACAUUCAAAUAUAGUGGAAUAUGUUCAACCUUGCCACAUCAAAUAAAGUUGGAUAUAAUUGAACAAUAUAUUCAAAUAUACACGUGGAUUGUUUUUUUAAAAAUACGGCUUAAUGAUGUAUUCAAAUACAACAAAAUUAUUCAAAAAUAGCUACAAAACAUAAACACAUAAAAUAUAGUUACGGAUUGGUAAAAGCUCCAUAAAAAGUAGUCAUUUAUGAAAGUGUUCCUUUAAAUAACACCAUUAAAGGUGACCGUCUGGAGUUAUUUUACAGUACCAUAUUGGGUAUAAGUGACCCGGACCUUGUAAUCCCAAUUAAGGGGAGUAGACAAAC
rnacentral:lncRNA from 1 species